rnacentral:lncRNA from 1 species
CCCGACUAGGAUUUCAGGGCAGCAUAGAAACAGGAUCUGCAAGAUAACUGCGUUGCCUCCUUCUGGAAGUUUCCUGAAUAUUGUGGAUAAUUUCCUGAGUGCUUUUGCACAUCCCCCUUGAUGACACCAGGCCAUGACGGGUAAAGCCUAAGAUCCUCGGAGCAAACGGCUGACAUAUAAGGCCUCACCUUCUCACACGCAUGUACACAAACCCUCCUGAUGCCCAGGACGCAUGUGAGAACCUUCACAUCUGGGGCCAGCUAUGCGAUGCUGAAACAGAUAAAGUUUAAGUGAUGGAGGGAGUUCCAUCAUGGCUCAGAAGUAAGGAACCCAUCUUGUAUCCGUGAGGAUGCAGGUUUGAUCCCUGGCCUCGCUCAGUGGGUUAAGGAUCCAGCAUUGUCAGGAGCUGUGGUGAAGGCUGGCAGCUGCCGCUCUGAUUCAACCCCUAGCCUGGGAACUUCCACGUGCCGCAGGUGUGGUCCUAAGAAAAAAAGCAAAAAAAAAAAUUGUUUAAGUGAUGGAUGUGGUGGAUUGCUUGCAUAAAUAGCACCAGUUGAUAUUCCUUCCUGCAUCCACCUCCUUUGGAAUGUGACGCAAUAACUUCUCUUGUCAAAAAGUGGGGUCUAUGUCCCCACUUCCUUGAAUAGGGGCUCUUCCUGUGACCGAGUUGGCCAACAGUGUGGCAGCAGUGGCCCUGUACAAGCCACAGUCCUGAGCUUGAAGAGGCUUCGCCUGCUUCCACUCACUCGCAGAAUCCGGCCGUGCUGGAUUCACUUGCAACAAGCUGAAUGGUCCCUGAGCUGCUGGCCAAGGGAAGAGCUGGGGACACAGCCCCACGAGCCAGAAGCGCUGACUCUCCAGAUGGCCAUCCACCCUUGACUGAAGAGCCUCUGGGUCACGUCGAAUGUAUCCGACCUACAUCUGGUUCCUCUGUGCUCAGCCCCCAGGCAGAAGCCUGCUCUGCAGACCGCAUGGGGCAGUGGCCUGAGACUGGCCCUCCCCUCCUAACUGUGACUUGGGACUGAUGAAACGGCUUUCCUAUCCAAAC